UACGGGGGAUGCAAGCGUUAUCCGGAUUUAUUGGGUUUAAAGGGUGCGUAGGCUGUGAGGUAAGUCAGCGGUGAAAUGCCCCCGCUCAACGGGGUGAAGUGCCGUUGAUACUGCCUUGCUGGAAUGCGGAUGCCGUGGGAGGAAUGUGUGGUGUAGCGGUGAAAUGCAUAGAUAUCACACAGAACACCGAUUGCGAAGGCAUCUCACGAAUCCGCUAUUGACGCUGAUGCACGAAAGCGUGGGUAUCAAACAGG
rnacentral:rRNA from 1 species